rnacentral:lncRNA from 1 species
GGACGCAGGUGCCCAGCAGGCAGGGGGCGCUUCUCCCAGGGAGAGCUCAGAGGCCAGGAGCCACAGGGUCUGGGGACAAAGGUCCCUCCACGCUUGGAGCCAGGGCACAGCCUGGAGCACCAGCGAACUGUCCGGGGUCCUUUGUCCUGCCGGGGAGGGCAGGAGACAGGACAUCGGAGUCUGACGGGGUCUCAGCUGUCGCCGGGCCACCCAUCUUGCUGUGGGACGGAGACCCAGGAGGGUCCCGAGGGAGAGGACAGGGCAGCUGCAGGAGGGAUGGACCUCUCCGAGCUUGUCACCUGGACACCUGUGUGACCCACCCGGGCCGCCGGUCAGCGACAGCCAGCGUUUGCAGCGUUUUGCGCAGGGGAGGAGCGCGCUUGGGUCCCCUCACCGGCCUCCCUGCUGGCCCGAUAGAGUAGCCAGGUGGGGUCACCUGUCCAUCGGGGAGGAGGGGAGAGGCCUGGGGUCAGGCAUCUGGACUCCCGCGGGGGGCAGGGCCUUCUCUCCUCGGGCCCUCCCCACCCCCAUCAGCCUCUGCCGCGCCCCCAGCACCCGGGAAAACAG